AAUUGGAGGGCAAGUCUGGUGCCAGCAGCCGCGGUAAUUCCAGCUCCAAUAGCGUAUAUUAAAGUUGUUGCAGUUAAAAAGCUCGUAGUUGAAUUUCGGGAUCAAUAUUUCGGUCAUGCCGUUGGUAUGCACUGUUAUCAUUGAUUUCUCACCUUCUAAAGAACCGUAAUGCCAUUAAUUUGGUGUUACGGGGAAUUAGGACUGUUACCUUGAAAAAAUUAGAGUGUUUAAAGCAGGCUCACGCUUGAAUACAUUAGCAUGGAAUAAUGAAAUAGGACAUCCGAUUCUAUUUUGUUGGUUUCUAGGAUCGAUGUAAUGAUUAAUAGGGAUAGUUGGGGGCACUAGUAUUCAAUUGUCAGAGGUGAAAUUCUUGGAUUUAUUGAAGACUAACUACUGCGAAAGCAUUUGCCAAGGAUGUUUUCAUUAAUCAAGAACGAAAGUUAGGGGAUCGAAGACGAUCAGAUACCGUCGUAGUCUUAACCAUAAACUAUGCCGACUAGGGAUCGGAUGAUGUUAAUUUUUUAAUGACUCAUUCGGCGCCUUACGGGAAACCAAAGUGU
rnacentral:rRNA from 1 species